rfam:Triticum aestivum genome assembly, contig: Triticum_aestivum_CS42_TGACv1_scaffold_576876_7BL
AUAGUACUCUCUCCGUUCGAAAAUACUCGUCGGAGAAAUGGAUGUAUCUAGACGUAUUUUAGUUUUAGAUACAUCCAUUUUUGUCAAUUUCUUCGACAAAUAUUUUCGGACGGAGGGAGUAGUAU